CACAAGAGGCUGACUCCACCCUUCAACCCAAACGUGGAGGGACCCGCUGACUUGAAAACUUUGACCCAGAGUUCACCCAGGAGGCUGUGUCCAAGUCCAUUGGCUGCACCCCUGACACCAUGUCCAGCAGUUCUGGGGCCUCAAGUGCAUUCCUCGGAUUCUCCUAUGCACAGGAUGAUGAUGACAUCUUGGACUCUUGAGAGCCAAGUGCUUGGAAAGCCACCAAGCCCAGCUGGGACCUGCAGGAACUACCUUCUGCUGCACUAAGACACGACGAGUCCCGAAGAAGUCAGAUGCAGUAGCUCAGGGAAGAGGGGAGCAUUUUCCAUCCCAUAAAAGAACGGUGAAGGGUUCAGGCUGGCUGACUAGGCUCCCGAGUACCCAGCCGUCUGCGGUUGAGACUUGCCCUUCUUGAGAAAUGACUUCUGUGCUUGGUUUUUCAUUUUUGGUUUUGUUUGUUGUUGCUGAGGCUGUGACAAAGUAUGCAAGAAAAGUAAUGUAAAGAAUAUCUAUUUGGGCUCACAGUUUCAGAAGGUUCAGCCCAUAGUUGGCUGAUCCAUUGCUGUGGUCUUUAGCCGAAGUUGAGUCAUCUUGCUGGAAGGAGUGACUUACCCUAUGCCUAGCAGGAAACAGAAACUGAGUCUGGGUUGGGAAUAAGAUACCUUCUGAUAAGAUAUUUCUGAGUGACCCACUCCCUUCCAGUGGGGCCAAUGUCCUAGUUAUCACCUCUCCGUGCUAUAAAAU
rnacentral:lncRNA from 1 species